GACGAACGCUGGCGGCGUGCCUAACACAUGCAAGUCGAACGGAGUUGCCCUUCGGGACAACUUAGUGGCGAACGGGUGAGUAACGCGUGAGGAACCUGCCUUUCAGUGGGGGACAACAGUUGGAAACGACUGCUAAUACCGCAUAAUGUCAUCGAGCGGCAUCGCUUGAUGACCAAAGAUUUAUUGCUGAAAGAUGGCCUCGCGUCUGAUUAGCUAGUUGGUGGGGUAACGGCCCACCAAGGCGACGAUCAGUAGCCGGUCUGAGAGGAUGAACGGCCACAUUGGGACUGAGAUACGGCCCAGACUCCUACGGGAGGCAGCAGUGGGGAAUAUUGGGCAAUGGGGGAAACCCUGACCCAGCAACGCCGCGUGAAGGAAGAA
rnacentral:rRNA from 1 species